CAGCCGCCGCGGGAAUACGAAGGGUGCAAGCGUUACUCGGAAUUACUGGGCGUAAAGCGUGCGUAGGUGGUGGUUUAAGUCCGUUGUGAAAGCCCUGGGCUCAACCUGGGAAUUGCAGUGGAUACUGGGUCACUAGAGUGUGGUAGAGGAUAGUGGAAUUUCCGGUGUAGCAGUGAAAUGCGCAGAAAUCGGAAGGAACAUCUGUGGCGAAGGCGACUAUCUGGGCCAACACUGACACUGAGGCACGAAAGCGUGGGGAGCAAACAGGAUUAGAUACCCCAGUAGUCCCUGUCUCUUAUAC
rnacentral:rRNA from 1 species